rnacentral:sRNA from 1 species
UAUCACUAGGUUUUCAGAUCUAGGAUUUGAAGUGAAAUGCUUUAACGAUCUUAAAGCGGAAGAACUACUGCUCAAAAUUCAUGAGGUGUCAACUGUUAGCCACGCAGAUGCCGAUUGCUUUGUGUGUGUCUUCCUGAGCCAUGGCGAAGGCAACCACAUUUAUGCGUAUGAUGCUAAAAUCGAAAUUCAGACAUUAACUGGCUUGUUCAAAGGAGACAAGUGUCACAGCCUGGUUGGAAAACCCAAGAUAUUUAUCAUUCAGGCAUGUCGGGGAAACCAGCACGAUGUGCCAGUCAUUCCUUUGGAUGUAGUAGAUAAUCAGACAGACAAGUUGGAUACCAACAUAACUGAGGUGGAUGCAGCCUCCGUUUACACUCUGCCUGCUGGAGCUGACUUCCUCAUGUGUUACUCUGUUGCAGAAGGAUAUUAUUCUCACCGGGAAACUGUGAACGGCUCAUGGUACAUUCAAGAUUUGUGUGAGAUGUUGGGAAAAUAUGGCUCCUCCUUAGAGUUCACAGAACUCCUCACACUGGUGAACAGGAAAGUUUCUCAGCGCCGAGUGGACUUUUGCAAAGACCCAAGUGCAAUUGGAAAGAAGCAGGUUCCCUGUUUUGCCUCAAUGCUAACUAAAAAGCUGCAUUUCUUUCCAAAAUCUAAUUAAUAGAGACUAUCUUAUUUUACAAUCUGUAUUGAAAAUGUCUUUCUCAGCCAGGCGUGGUUACUCACACCUGUAAUCCCAGCACUUUGGGAAUCCAAGGUGGGCGGAUCAC